GCAUCAACAGGAAGUACUUUGUUACCAUCCUCUAUCUAGUUUUCAAACCAAACACAUUUCCACACGCUUUUGCAGGAUGUUUCUAAUGUAAGAUUAGUCUAAAUGAGACGUUCGUUUGUCACAACUUCAAUGUAGUUUUGGUAUUUAUAAAGUUGUGGCCGAGCUUUUCUUUAUCUGAACGUUGUGACUAAGAAAGUAACUGUAGCAUACACAUUUAGUGUCGUUUUUUAUUUUUUAGAAAUAAUACAGUAACGUCAGCUUCCACGAUGGAUCGGGUGGGAAAAGGCAGUGUGGAGUACGAUUGAGAUUGCAUCAUCUGUGGAUCUGUUGGGACGAUAUGUGAAUUGGAGUGGAUCUAGGGUAUCCAGGAGGAUGCUGUUGAUGUGAGCCAUGACCAGCCUUUCAAAGCACUUCAUGGCUACCGAUGUGAGUGCUACGGGGUGGUAAUCAUUUAGUUCCUGGUGUUUUCCUGUAGUCGACCAGCAACACAGACACCCUCUUCAGAUCCAGCAGUAAGGCGCUACCAGGAGAGUUGUGACCAGGGGACUCCGGCAGGUUGGAGGGGGAUGGACUAGGUCUGUCCUAGUGACCACAGGAAGUAUUGUACAUAGAAUAUCAUGAGACCAAACAUUUGAUUACUUUAGUCUGAAUCUCUGAUUGAUUGGUGCAUUCUUCUAAUAUCGCAUUUCUCCUGAAGUGCGUCACUGAUCACUACUUUCCACAACAUUUUCAAUCACUUUGCCAAAUAUUUCAGAUGGAAGUGGCUUUUUUAUAUUUUUUAUAUACUUCGAAUGCCCCGUCUUAUGUUCAGAAUGUUUGAUUGAGCAUUCAUUGGAGUUGAACAUCUUUCACCAGAGUUAAUCUUAGUUAAAUUCUGGGUUAAGUGUCACAUAAUUAGUCAACUGCUCGCUUAAGUUCUGGGUUCAUAAGUGGAGAGAUUAAGAGAUGGUAGAACAAGGAGAAGAACCGGAAUGAGAAGCUCCACACCCUCUUUCAAGAUACGGGCUGAAUGUACCCUCCCCUUCCAACAUGUGACAGAUGGUAACACCUGCAAAAUCAUGAUUGGUUCAAAUAACCAGUGACACAAAACCUAAACACCAGAACUACUGCUGCUCGUUAUCCCACUUUUGGAGCAUGUUGAGAAAAAUGUCAGUCUCAUAGUUUCAGUAUUCUUAUACAGUACAUUGGUAACAGCAAGGGGAACAACGACUUCAAGGUCUCAAAGCAAGUGACGUCACCGAUUGAAACGCUAUUUAGCGGGCACCACUGCUAAUUAGCUAGCUGUUUCACAUCCAUUACACAUACAUAGAAGAAACCAUCAGUUAUAGGGGUAUUGUGGCAUGUAGUAGAAACCUACAGUAAAAAGGUAUGGUGUUGCCUGGUGCAAUUUCCGCCCCAUGUAACAUUGUUCAAGAUCCACUUUUCUAUGUGACUUGUUACUGUAACAGCAGCCACAUCUAAAAAUAAACAACAUUCAGAUAAUGAGUGGAAUAAACUGUAAUUUAACACCCAAGUAUUUCAGCAGUACAUUGUACACUACACCAUUAUUUCAAAUUUCAUUUUUAUAUAUACUGUUCGUAAACUUGACACUUUAGAAUUUUGGUUUUGUAGAUCAGUUUUUAGCAGUUUGAUUAAAUUAUAGUAAAAUGUAUUAACAAAUGACAGGAAAUAUUUUCAAAAAUAAUCAAUUGAAAAUCAAUUCAAAAAGAGUUUUGAAACAUAUUUUUGUGCUUUGAGUUGUGAAAAUGUACCAUUGGAUUGGGCUAGUGGGAGUGAAGGAAAGUGAACAAGUGCACACUUAGGGAGGACGGAAAGAUAACUAGGGAUUCCUUAACAUAUUAUGUAGGCAGAGGCGGCGCUAGCGCGAAGGCCAUGGGUGCGACUGUUCCUGCAGAUGAAUCAAUAAAAUAAAGACAAAUUAUGUAGACAUCCCAUUAUUUAACACUAUAAGCAUUAUUUAACACUACAAAACAUGGCAAAUGUAUAUGAUUGAAUUAAAUCCUGGAAUUGGUCUAGGUGGUUGUUGCUUAUUUUAUAAAGCAAUGUACCCUACUGUCAGUAUACCUCCUUGAGGGGACCCCUGGGACU